rnacentral:rRNA from 1 species
GCAAGUCGAGCGGACCGACGGGAGCUUGCUCCCUUAGGUCAGCGGCGGACGGGUGAGUAACACGUGGGUAACCUGCCUGUAAGACUGGGAUAACUCCGGGAAACCGGGGCUAAUACCGGAUGCUUGAUUGAACCGCAUGGUUCAAUCAUAAAAGGUGGCUUUUAGCUACCACUURCAGAUGGACCCGCGGCGCAUUAGCUAGUUGGUGAGGUAACGGCUCACCAAGGCGACGAUGCGUAGCCGACCUGAGAGGGUGAUCGGCCACACUGGGACUGAGACACGGCCCAGACUCCUACGGGAGGCAGCAGUAGGGAAUCUUCCGCAAUGGACGAAAGUCUGACGGAGCAACGCCGCGUGAGUGAUGAAGGUUUUCGGAUCGUAAAACUCUGUUGUUAGGGAAGAACAAGUACCGUUCGAAUAGGGCGGCACCUUGACGGUACCUAACCAGAAAGCCACGGCUAACUACGUGCCAGCAGCCGCGGUAAUACGUAGGUGGCAAGCGUUGUCCGGAAUUAUUGGGCGUAAAGCGCGCGCAGGCGGUUUCUUAAGUCUGAUGUGAAAGCCCCCGGCUCAACCGGGGAGGGUCAUUGGAAACUGGGGAACUUGAGUGCAGAAGAGGAGAGUGGAAUUCCACGUGUAGCGGUGAAAUGCGUAGAGAUGUGGAGGAACACCAGUGGCGAAGGCGACUCUCUGGUCUGUAACUGACGCUGAGGCGCGAAAGCGUGGGGAGCGAACAGGAUUAGAUACCCUGGUAGUCCACGCCGUAAACGAUGAGUGCUAAGUGUUAGAGGGUUUCCGCCCUUUAGUGCUGCAGCAAACGCAUUAAGCACUCCGCCUGGGGAGUACGGUCGCAAGACUGAAACUCAAAGGAAUUGACGGGGGCCCGCACAAGCGGUGGAGCAUGUGGUUUAAUUCGAAGCAACGCGAAGAACCUUACCAGGUCUUGACAUCCUCUGACAACCCUAGAGAUAGGGCUUCCCCUUCSGGGGCAGAGUGACAGGUGGUGCAUGGUUGUCGUCAGCUCGUGUCGUGAGAUGUUGGGUUAAGUCCCGCAACGRGCCCAACCCUUGAUCUUAGUUGCCAGCAUUCAGUUGGGCACUCUAAGGUGACUGCCGGUGACAAACCGGARGAAGGUGGGGAUGACGUCAAAUCAUCAUGCCCCUU